UGGUUGUUAUCGGCGGAUACGAAGGCAGCGGCGGCGGCGUUGACGUUAAGUGAGUGUCUAGUUUGUAUGACUUGAUGCAACACGCCCUUUCGAACGAACUGAUGCGUACGUGAAUGGGUCUGGUUCGCUUUUUGGCCCCGGCCUGCUCAUUCGUUGACGCAGACAAUAUGCUGGAUGUGCGGGAUGCUUGUCAUUCUGACGACGCAUUUCGAAACGAUGAACGCUAGCUGUGAAGCGCACGAAACAGCAAGACAAAAGCCUGGCACGUAGUUAUAUCUGCACCUUGAAGAAGCUGUGCGUCGACGUGCAUCGUAUGCCGUGCUCUAUGGAAAUACAUCCAGCCCUUAUUCGUUUGAGAUGGGUGCUGGUCUACGGAAUGCCGAAAGAGAGCUCGAAGCAGGCGGCAUAAAUAUGGAUGUAUACAUGGAAUGGACUGCAAUGCGACACUGCCAAUGAAGAAUGCGUACUAGAACAUAGCCUGCUCUUAGCCAGACGUCGGACUCCGCAAACAAAACCAGACUUCAUCUGCCUCAGCCAAUGUCCAGUGUGGAAUGGUGGGUAGCAACAUGGAAAGACAAAGUGCAGCAAAACACAGGGAAUGUUUCAACAAACAGCACUUAACAUUUGAGGAAAAUCCUGUAUGACAAAGACUUCAGCGAGUAUAUUGACAUGACUGGGGACGAUGUGGUGGAGCAUCAGUCAUUGCUGAACCUAACAGAACAGCAGAACACUGCAAAUUUGGGGCAGUGUCAGGAUCUUGCACUCCGAAGCAUUGAGAAUGUACCUGUAAGCAGCACCAAGACACAGCCUUUCACUGCUCCAACAGAGCAGGAGGGUCGUCUACUAGCCCAGUAUUACCUACCAGAGACACCUCUCGAUGUCGCAACCACAAUCAAGAACAUGAGGAGGGGUGACAUCCCCGAAGCCUUCAG